rnacentral:rRNA from 1 species
GACGAACGCUGGCGGCGUGCCUAAUACAUGCAAGUAGAACGCUGAAGGAGGAGCUUGCUUCUCUGGAUGAGUUGCGAACGGGUGAGUAACGCGUAGGUAACCUGCCUGGUAGCGGGGGAUAACUAUUGGAAACGAUAGCUAAUACCGCAUAAGAGUAGAUGUUGCAUGACAUUUGCUUAAAAGGUGCAAUUGCAUCACUACCAGAUGGACCUGCGUUGUAUUAGCUAGUUGGUGGGGUAACGGCUCACCAAGGCGACGAUACAUAGCCGACCUGAGAGGGUGGACGGCCACACUUGGAAUGAGACACGGCCCAGACUCCUACGGGAGGCAGCAGUAGGGAAUCUUCGGAAAUGGACGGAAGUCUGACCGAGCAACGCCGCGUGAGUGAAGAAGGUUUUCGGAUCGUAAAGCUCUGUUGUAAGAGAAGAACGAGUGUGAGAGUGGAAAGUUCACACUGUGACGGUAUCUUACCAGAAAGGGACGGCUAACUACGUG